UACGUAGGUGGCAAGCGUUGUCCGGAAUUAUUGGGCGUAAAGCGCGCGCAGGCGGUCCUUUAAGUCUGAUGUGAAAGCCCACGGCUCAACCGUGGAGGGUCAUUGGAAACUGGGGGACUUGAGUACAGAAGAGAAGAGUGGAAUUCCACGUGUAGCGGUGAAAUGCGUAGAUAUCUGGAGGAACACCGGUGGCGAAGGCGGCAUCCUGGACGGCAACUGACGCUGAGGCACGAAAGCGUGGGGAGCAAACAGG
rnacentral:rRNA from 1 species